rnacentral:rRNA from 1 species
AUUGAACGCUGGCGGCAUGCUUUACACAUGCAAGUCGAACGGUAACAGGCCGCAAGGUGCUGACGAGUGGCGAACGGGUGAGUAAUGCAUCGGAACGUGCCCAGUCGUGGGGGAUAACGCAGCGAAAGCUGCGCUAAUACCGCAUACGAUCUCUGGAUGAAAGCGGGGGACCGAAAGGCCUCGCGCGAUUGGAGCGGCCGAUGCCAGAUUAGGUAGUUGGUGGGAUAAAGGCCCACCAAGCCAACGAUCUGUAGCUGGUCUGAGAGGACGACCAGCCACACUGGGACUGAGACACGGCCCAGACUCCUACGGGAGGCAGCAGUGGGGAAUUUUGGACAAUGGGCGCAAGCCUGAUCCAGCAAUGCCGCGUGCAGGAAGAAGGCCUUCGGGUUGUAAACUGCUUUUGUACGGAACGAAACGGUCCGGGUUAAUACCCUGGGCUAAUGACGGUACCGUAAGAAUAAGCACCGGCUAACUACGUGCCAGCCGCCGCAGUAACAC